CAGGACUGACGAGUGGAUGCCGUGUUUAGGAGGCCUGUGUGGAGAAUGCCGUCAUCAGUGUGAUUCACUGUUAGAGCCUGUUGCUACUCCUCCCUGGGCUCUGGGUAUAUACUUCUCCCUGGGCUCUGGGUAUAUACUUCUCCCUGGGCUCUGGGUAUAUACUCGGAACUGCUGUUGUCUUAAUAGUUGCUACAGUUGAGUUGAGUUGAGUUAAAGGUGUAAUGACAGCUUCUGUAUUUAAAUGCUGCGAGCAGUUAUAGUAAAGUGUUAGAAAGUUUUGUAACUCCCUAACCUCUUGGUUAAGAGUGUAAUUAUUUUGAGGGCGUGAGUUACUGAGCAUUCUCUCUCUCCUUCUCUCUCUCUCUCUCUCUCUCUCUCUCUCUCUCUGUAUCUCUGUGUACCUCGCUCUGUUUUUUUUCUCUUUUUUCCAGAACGCCAAUCGAAGACUAUCGAGCGCUCUCCAGCGAAGCUUCCACUCUGGAGCCCCCGACACUCUCAAGCACAGAGACUGAUGGGGAGAGCCACAGCCUGACAGAGGAAGAGAAGGAGCUGCGGCGGUACCUCGCCUCCCUGUUUGCUGUCCCACCUCCAGGGGGCAGCAGAGAGCUCCGCUGCUCCACUGAGCCCACGCUGAGCAUCAUCGAGUUGGACCAGACAGUCGGCAGCGCUGUGGGUACCUCUUCCUUUGGAGUGGAGCGCCAUGGAGCUAACACAAAGUAAGCAGUAGGAGAUGAGAGAGAUGCCAGGGCCUUUGAAAAAG
rnacentral:lncRNA from 1 species